rnacentral:sRNA from 1 species
UCCUCCGAGGCUGGCGAUCGGCGGAGCUCCCACCUCCGCUUACAGCUCGCUGCCGCCGUCCUGCCCCGCGCCCCCAGGAGACCUGGACCAGACCACGAUGUGGAAACGCUGGCUCGCGCUCGCGCUGGUGGCGGUCGCCUGGGUCCGCGCCGAGGAAGAGCUAAGGAGCAAAUCCAAGAUCUGUGCCAAUGUGUUUUGUGGAGCCGGCCGGGAAUGUGCAGUCACAGAGAAAGGGGAACCCACCUGUCUCUGCAUUGAGCAAUGCAAACCUCACAAGAGGCCUGUGUGUGGCAGUAAUGGCAAGACCUACCUCAACCACUGUGAACUGCAUCGAGAUGCCUGCCUCACUGGAUCCAAAAUCCAGGUUGAUUACGAUGGACACUGCAAAGAGAAGAAAUCCGUAAGUCCAUCUGCCAGCCCAGGUGAGUGCCUAUUUUUUCUACUGUGUGCAUCUCAGGGAGGACAUUCUUUUCAUGACAGAAAUUUUGUGUUCCACAAUCCCUGCCAAGCUCAUAAGAUCUUCUAUGCAUCAGAAUUGUGUCCCAGAACUGGCCACUCCUCAACACAGCUCAGAAAAGCUGCAAAACUACAUUUGUGUAUGUGUUUGCCAAUUGAAGCAGCUGGUUGGGUCAGAAUGUUGGCUGUGUUUUCCCAUUUUUCCUAAGUAGUGAUUGAACUGCAUAAACAGGAAAGCCACUGAGUUCAUUUUUCAACAUCCUAUAAGACAUGCUCGUGUCAUGGGACCAGCAAAUAUAAGGCACAACUCUUUUUGAAAGGGGAUAACUGGAAAUGCCAGUAAGACUUCUGUGGUUUUCUAUUAGUGAUCACUAAAAUUUUAUCAUGAUUUAUAGUUACAGAGCUUUUUUGCACAUACUUUCCUUAGAUUCUCACGGUAGCCUUUGAGAAGUAGAUCUUAUUGUAAUUACCAUAUAGAUGAGGAAAUUGAGGCUCAAAGAGGCUAAGUGAGUUUUCUGUAUCACACAGCUAGUAAUUGGCAGACUGGGGAAGAACUCCCAGAUUUUCAUUCCCCUGGCCCAGUGCCCUUUUCACCCACAGCAUGUGUUGUCUUCCAGGAAUUCUCUUUUGCCAAAGCUUUCUCUCCUCUGCUUCCCCAUCCACUCAACUCUCAGCACCCCCUGUUAUUUCCAGUGGACAACAGCUGUCCAGAGCAGGGCUUCGACGUAGCCCUCACUGGCCUUCACAUUCUGUUGUUCAUAAUAAAGGAUGAUGCAGGUGGUAUACAGUUGUAAGUGGGGGGAAGUUUGGAUGGACCUAGUUGGUGAGAAAGGGAGAAACUGGAGAAAAUCAGAAAUCUAGUAGCAUAAAAACUGUAAUAUUCUCAUUUAUUCAUGUAUUAUUUCAGCUCAUCUUUGAGUCAAGAGAGCUGCUUUAUUGAUUUUUUCCCCUUCAGCUUCCU